rnacentral:rRNA from 1 species
UACGGGGGGGGGCAAGCGUUGUUCGGAAUUACUGGGCGUAAAGGGCUCGUAGGUGGCCAACUAAGUCAGACGUGAAAUCCCCAGGCUCAACUUGGGAACUGCGUCUGAUACUGGAUGGCUUGAAUUCGGGAGAGGGAUGCAGAAUUCCAGGUGUAGCGGUGAAAUGCGUAGAUAUUCGCAAGAACACCAGUGGCGAAGGCGGCUCACUGGCCCGAUACUGACGCUGAGGCACGAAAGCGUGGGGAGCAAACAGGG